CCCGAUACAUAGCUUCCUGUCUCGAUCGCGUCCUGUCAGCCUGAUUGUAGCCAUACUAGCUUCGAAGUCCCUCGUUUUAUUAUUAUCUCAGUAUAUUAAUAUUAUCAUAUUUCUAUAGUGUGUUUUUAUUUUUAUAAUUCUUGUUGAAAAUUAUGUUUAUCCGUUCAGUUAGUGAUUUUUGUAAUUCGAUUAUUGUGUGCUGUGUCUUUUUUUGUUUCUUCACUAGCUAGCUAAUAACGUUCUAACUAGUAAGGUGGCUAGCAAUUAGCCAACGCCUCCCUCCCCUACCAAUCAUGGCACUGUUUUACUCAGGACGCUUGUAAGAGCUGCCAUUGACGGAUGUACAUCGUCUGGCCAAGCAAGACAAGUAGCAAAGCACCGAACUCCAAGUUAAAAACAAAGAUUCAAACUUUGUGUCCAGUUACCUUUUCAACUAUGAAGCUUCGAACUGGGCCAAUGUGACAGGAGAGGUCAGCAUAAGGGUUUGCUGCUACAGGUCCAGGAGGAAAAAUGAGAAACCACACAGUUUGAGUGUAGGGUGAAAAGUCAGGUGUUUGUGACACACUAUAUGCAGGUUACACAGUCAGAGAUGAAGCCUAGUCUUAUAGACUAAGAAGUUCCUGUCAAUGGAGAUCUGCAUUAAGAGGCAUUGCUUAGUCUAGGACUAGGUUUAACCCAUGUCGAUGAAACCGUUCUUAGUGUAGUAAUUGUUCAUUUCUCUUCCUUGCUGUUUAUGUAAGCUCUGUUAUGUUAAGACACAUUAGAUUACAUUUAAACAAGGACAUAUACCCUUAAAAGAAAAGUUUAAAUCCGUAUUGCUGUAAUGAAUUUAUUGGCUGUUGCAUGUUGCGCCAGUCAUUUCUGUUUGCUAGUCGUGACACAUGUUGAGUGAUUUUAUAUCCCCACGUUGGUUGUACUGAAUCCCUGUGAGCCAGUAACAAUGACACAUCACCACCACACAGUUGCAUUCCAGUCUGCACACUAAGAUGGGAACACCAGUCGUCCCACCUGUGCAUAGCUGCACAGAGGCCGAGCAGCAGUGGCGUAAGCCAAGGACUAUGGGUCUGCAACCUGGGCACAUAGGCAAAAUGACCAUCACCAAGCCCACCAAAAAGCACAUGGCAGAAGGAGGGAUUAGGUGGUUUCAAGUACAUUGUUUAGAUUGGCUAACCACAGCGGCUGCUUUGCGGAAGUACUCUCUACAGCGCCCUUUUUGGAAUGCUCCCUGACCUCUCAGUUCUCCAGAUAGAAGAGGCAUACAAGAACUUUGACCCUCUAUCCAAGCCAUUGAUCUGCAGCAUGGGGAUGUCUGCUGAAAAGCUUUUAGUUGACUCCCAUUUUGGAAAGGUACAGGUGGGGAGCCUCCUGUCUUACCAGCAGCCUCCAAUCACAACGUGACUUUAAGGAGACACCACCAUUCCCUUUACUGCCCCUGGGUGGCUACAGACUGGAGAGCAACUUUCAAGGCUGUACUUGAGCUCAAUGAAGAAGACCAGCUUCACAUAGUCUCUUCAGCUAUGUGACAGCCUCAGAAAUGAUACUCCUGUGUAAGGGUCUGCAGCAAAUCACAUCCAGCCACCAGAGAAGCAAAUGUAACCACAGGACAUGUGAAAGAGUUGAUGGACACCCAAUGUUCAUCAAUGGACAAAAAGUUCCAUAGAAUGGAAUAUAAUCACGUGCUAUCAGAAACCACUGCACUUGCCCCCAGGUUUAAGAAGUUAGCCUUCAGUGAUGCCAGAGCGAUUGAUGAGGCUCUUCAAAGAAUAACCUCAGCAGCAGGGAGGGACAGCCCCACAGUCAGUUGGCCCAGGCAACAGGAAGAAGAGGGAGCAGAAGCACCAGCAGUAGUGCCACAAACAUCUGCUGUUUGGAUGCUGUUUGACGAGAGAGCAACUGGGGAUGCAGCAUGAAGAAAUCCCUCAGCAGAUGCCAUAAUGGAGGUCCGAUGCUAUUUGGAGGAGGCCCUCCUCCAAAGAUCUGCAGAUCCUCUGAGCUGGUGGAAGAACAAGGCCUCGGUCUACCCACGGCUUACUAAAGUCAUGACAGGGAGACUGCAUAGUGGCCACAUCCGUUCCCUCAGAUGGUCUUCUCGAAAACUGGACAAAUAAUUACUGAGAGAAGAAACCGCAUCAGCCCCUUAAAAGUGAGGCAGCUUGCAUUUCUGAUUGCAAAUCUCUCAUAAAAGCAAAAUAUGGUCAGCAUUGCUGUGUGCUGCUGGUUAUAACAAGGUAGAGUACAAUUUCAUUUAAUAAUUCAAUUAGAAUUGUUCUAACACCAAUUAUAGUCAAACUAUCGCAAACUGUUUGACUUGAAAAAAUACAAAACCUUUUUUUUAAAGAACCGUUUGGGCGCCAAAAGACCCGGCUUUUUUUGGUGAGCUGUGCAGAACGAGCCGGCUCACUGAAAAGAGCCGGAAUGCCCAUCACUACUGACAAGAUGCAAUCGGGACAGGAAGCUAUGUAUCGGGUAGGAAGAGGUGUGAGGUAUGAUUGUCACCUGGUGAGGAGGAUCUGAUGGCUCACUGUGUCAAAGGCGGGAACUUAGAUGGAGAAGAAUCAGGAUGGGCACCGGCAUCAGCAGAGAUGCUGUUGUGCUGAACUCCCUUUCUGAGAUGUUUGGACUGCUGGACUCAGUGAGGAGGGUUCUGGACCUGAGACCCAGUGAGACUGAUGACAACCAGCAGCAGGUCCACAAUGCUCUUAAUGUGCUGGAGGACCAGUUGGAGGACCAGAGGAAGCCGAGGCAGGAUGAGCCCCCACCCAGCCCUGGUCACCUCUACGUGGGUAGCUUCUCCAAGGCCACCCCCUCAAAGUGCCUGCGGCUGUAUUGCUCUAGCUCUUCCACCACCCAACCUCAGAACCAGACCACACAAUCGUCCAUUGUCUUAUCCCGCAUCACCACAUCCCCAGUGGGUCCGCCUCUCACUGUGGCUGGCCUGCCUGUGGCCACACUGUCCGAACUCCCCACCGGCUCUUCAACCACUACACCACUGGCAACACCUCUGCAGGAAAGAGAGGCAGGGCCGGGUCUGUGGCUCUCCAUGCAGCCUCCAGGGUGACUGUGCUCAACACUACCACAGAGUAAGGGCUGGGGACCCCUCUACAGGUGCUUCAUCUAACCCAGGAGAGGGAGCAGAAGUCUGGGGACAUGGAGAGCCAGAAGCUAGGGGAGGAGAGGAUAGUACUUGUGCAGCAGGGGGUACUACUGGACACUCCAGAAAUUCAGACACACUAGGCUGGGAACAGUGGGGUCUCAAUCAGUGAUGGAGAAAGAGGAGGAGGAGCAGGGGAGGGACAGGAGAAUGAAGGUACAGAAGGAACAGUUGCAUAAUGGCAAGAAGAGGGCAUUAAAAUAACAUAAAACCAAGUGAGAGAAGA